rnacentral:rRNA from 1 species
GACGAACGCUGGCGGCGUGCUUAACACAUGCAAGUCGUACGGUAAGGCCCUUUCGGGGGUACACGAGUGGCGAACGGGUGCGUAACACGUGAGUAACCUGCCCACAACUUUGGGAUAACGCUAGGAAACUGGUGCUAAUACUGGAUAUGUGCCCCUGCUGCAUGGUGGGGGUUGGAAAGCUCCGGCGGUUGUGGAUGGACUCGCGGCCUAUCAGCUUGUUGGUGGGGUAGUGGCCUACCAAGGCGGCGACGGGUAGCCGGCCUGAGAGGGUGAGCGGCCACAUUGGGACUGAGAUACGGCCCAGACUCCUACGGGAGGCAGCAGUGGGGAAGAUUGCACAAGGGGCGCAAGCCUGAUGCAGCAACGCCGCGCGCGGGAGGACGGCCUUCGGGUUGGAAACCGAUUUCAGCAGGGACGAAGCUUUUUGUGACGGUACCUGCAGAAGAAGCACCGGCUAACUACGUG